GGUUGUUAGUAAUAUUCACCAAAUAUAUAUAUAUAAUAUACCGGUAUAAAUACAUGUAAGUUAUAAAUGCUAACAAAUAUAAAGAUGGUUCGACAUAAAUGUCUAAUGUCUAACAAACAAAAAAUAAACAAUUCUUCAUAAGUGACAUAUUAUUUAGUUUUGGAUUUUAAGGAACCAAACAAAGAUUAUAAAUCAAGAGUAGUUUCAUUUCUUUUUUCUCUUUCUUCUCUCUUUCCUCCCUUUUUUAAAGCAAUACAUGUUUAAAUGAUUUUAUUAAAUUUUAACUCCUCCCUCACAAGAAAAAAUAUAAAUAAAUAAAAUAAAAAUAAAUAAAUAACUAAGAUAAGCUUUAAAACACACUGAAAGUAAUUAAGAAAUAAGAAAGCCAAAAAAAACACAAAAAAAAAAAAAAACGGAAAGGGUAGAAAUUUAUGAAUAUAUAAAUAAAUAUCAGGAAAUACCAAUGUAAAGAGGUAAAUAGAAAAAAGAAAUGAGAACCACUUGCAUUCACUUUCACUUUCUCUCAGUCUCUCAUACACACAUACAAUUCUUACUUACAUACACACAUACAUUACUUAAUUAUGUACAUAAUUAUUGUUUACAAUUAUAUGCAUCAAAGAAUAAACAAAAUCUAAUCAAAAAAUUUGCUCACAGAUUAAUAUCAUACUCUAUGGUGGAAAUAUAUAUUGUAAUGGGGUCCAAAAUUUUUCAUAUACAUCAACAUUAUUAUUUUUCUUUGCAAUAUAAUAUUCAUAUGACUGAUAUUGUUUUAUUCUAUUUUUAAAACCAAAAAU
rnacentral:lncRNA from 1 species